rnacentral:rRNA from 1 species
CCUUGUGACGGAUCUCGAGGAUUGUCUGCCCUUAUCGGAUUGGGUGGGCCGUUUAGAGGUUCCUGGAAAUAGCCCUCCAUCAGACCGUACCCUAAACCGACACAGGUGGACUGGUAGAGUAUACCAAGGCGCUUGAGAGAACCACGUUAAAGGAACUCGGCAAAAUGCUCCCGUAAGUUCGCGAGAAGGGAGCCCCGUCUGUACGCAAGUAUGGGCGGGGGGCACAAACUAGGGGGUGGCGACUGUUUACUUAAAACACAGGGCUGUGCGAAGCCGUAAGGCGACGUAUACAGUCUGACGCCUGCCCGGUGCUGGAAGAUUAAGAGGAGGGGUGCAAGCUCUGAAUUGAAGUCCCAGUAAACGGCGGCCGUAACAAUAACGGUCCUAAGGUAGCGAAAUUCCUUGUCGGGUAAGUUCCGACCUGCACGAAUGGCGUAACGAUCUCCCCGCUGUCUCUAACGUGGACUCAGCGAAAUUGAACUGUGUGUCAAGAUGCACACUACCCGCGGUUAGACGGAAAGACCCCAUGAACCUUUACUCCAGCUUUGCACUGGUAUCAGGAUUGUGAUGUGCAGGAUAGGUGGUAGGCAUCGAAGCGGGGACGCCAGUUCCCGUGGAGCCUCCCUUGAGAUACCACCCUUCGCCAUCUUGAUAUCUAACCGCGGCCCGUUAUCCGGGUCCGGGACCCUGCAUGGUGGGGAGUUUGACUGGGGCGGUCGCCUCCCAAACAGUAACGGAGGCGCGCGAUGGUUGGCUCAGACCGGUCGGAAAUCGGUCGUUGAGUGCAAUGGCAGAAGCCAGCCUGACUGCAAGACUGACAAGUCGAGCAGAGACGAAAGUCGGUCAUAGUGAUCCGGUGGUCCCAAGUGGGAGGGCCAUCGCUCAACGGAUAAAAGGUACUCUGGGGAUAACAGGCUGAUGAUGCCCAAGAGUCCAUAUCGACGGCAUCGUUUGGCACCUCGAUGUCGGCUCAUCUCAUCCUGGGGCUGGAGCAGGUCCCAAGGGUAUGGCUGUUCGCCAUUUAAAGAGGUACGUGAGCUGGGUUUAGAACGUCGUGAGACAGUUCGGUCCCUAUCUGCCGUGGGUGCAGGAGACUUGAGAAGAGUUGACCCUAGUACGAGAGGACCGGGUUGAACGAACCACUGGUGGACCAGUUAUCGUGCCAACGGUAGUGCUGGGUAGCUAUGUUCGGACAGGAUAACCGCUGAAGGCAUCUAAGCGGGAAGCCC